rnacentral:rRNA from 1 species
UCGACGAUGAAGCCCAGCUUGCUGGGUGGAUUAGUGGCGAACGGGUGAGUAACACGUGAGUAACCUGCCCCCGACUCUGGGAUAAGCCCGGGAAACUGGGUCUAAUACCGGAUAUUACCUCUUGCCGCAUGGCAGGUGGUGGAAAGAUUUAUCGGUGGGGGAUGGACUCGCGGCCUAUCAGCUUGUUGGUGAGGUAAUGGCUCACCAAGGCGACGACGGGUAGCCGGCCUGAGAGGGUGACCGGCCACACUGGGACUGAGACACGGCCCAGACUCCUACGGGAGGCAGCAGUGGGGAAUAUUGCACAAUGGGCGAAAGCCUGAUGCAGCGACGCCGCGUGAGGGAUGACGGCCUUCGGGUUGUAAACCUCUUUCAGUAGGGAAGAAGCGAAAGUGACGGUACCUGCAGAAGAAGCGCCGGCUAACUACGUGCCAGCAGCCGCGGUAAUACGUAGGGCGCAAGCGUUAUCCGGAUUUAUUGGGCGUAAAGAGCUCGUAGGCGGUUUGUCGCGUCUGCCGUGAAAGUCCGAGGCUCAACCUCGGAUCUGCGGUGGGUACGGGCAGACUAGAGUGAUGUAGGGGAGACUGGAAUUCCUGGUGUAGCGGUGAAAUGCGCAGAUAUCAGGAGGAACACCGAUGGCGAAGGCAGGUCUCUGGGCAUUUACUGACGCUGAGGAGCGAAAGCAUAGGGAGCGAACAGGAUUAGAUACCCUGGUAGUCCAUGCCGUAAACGUUGG